UACGUAGGGGGCGAGCGUUAUCCGGAUUCACUGGGCGUAAAGGGAGCGCAGGCGGCACGGCAAGUCCGGUGUGAAAGCCCGGGGCCCAACCCCGGGACUGCACUGGAAACUGCCGGGCUGGAGUGUCGGAGGGGCAGGCGGAGUUCCUAGUGUAGCGGUGAAAUGCGUAGAUAUUAGGAGGAACACCGGUGGCGAAGGCGGCCUGCUGGACGACGACUGACGCUGAGGCUCGAAAGCGUGGGGAGCAAACAGG
rnacentral:rRNA from 1 species